rnacentral:tRNA from 1 species
UAUUCAACUACAAAAACUUA